rnacentral:RNase_P_RNA from 1 species
AAAGUAGAUCAGGCGAUCGCAGGAUUUAAAAAUCUUGAGGAAAGUCCGAACACCAUAGGGCAGGACGCUCCAUAACGUGGAGUCGCGGUAACGUGAAGGAAAGUGCAACAGAGAACAGACCGCCAGCAAUUUUAUUUUUUUAUGAGACUGUUAAUUGUCAAAUUUAUUAUUAUGAUAAUUAACACCAUAGAUAUAGUAAAUAUAGCUGGUAAGGGUGAAACGGUGCGGUAAGAGCGCACCAGUUUUUCAGGUGACUGAAAAAGCUUGGUAAACCCCGUCCGGUGCAAGACCAAAUAGGGAAGUGCUUGAGGGCU